rnacentral:rRNA from 1 species
AGAGAGAAGCGAGACGGAGACGUUAAGCGAAACCCAAAAAAGUAAGUCUCAGUUCGGAUUGAAGGCUGAAAUUCGCCUUCAUGAAGCCGGAAUUGCUAGUAAUGGCAGGUCAGCAUACUGCCGUGAAUACGUUCCCGGGCCUUGUACACACCGCCCGUCACACCAUGAGAGUUGGGAAUACCCGAAGCCUGUGAGCUAACGUAAGAGGCAGCAGUCGAAGGUAGAAUCAAUGAUUGGGGUGAAGUCGUAACAAGGUAAC